rnacentral:rRNA from 1 species
GAAACCCUGCACUUACAAGCUGUGGAAGCACAUUUCUUGUGUGACCGCGUACUUUUUGUAGAACGGGCCAACGAGUUACGUUAAGUAGCAAGGUUAAGCACUUAAGGUGCGGAGCCGUAGCGAAAGCGAGUUUUAACUGAGCGUUCAGUUACUUGACGUAGACCCGAAACCGGGCGACCUACCCAUGAGCAGGAUGAAGCGAAAGUAAAAUUUCGUGGAGGUCCGAACCCACGAGCGUUGAAAAGCUCGGGGAUGACUUGUGGGUAGCGGUGAAAUUCCAAUCGAGCCCGGAGAUAGCUGGUUCUCCCCGAAAUAGCUUUAGGGCUAGCCUCAAGGUGAGAGAUACGGAGGUAGAGCACUGAAUGUCCUAGGGGGUAUUGCACCUACCGAAGACUAUCAAACUCCGAAUGCCGUCAUCUUAUACUUGGGAGUCAGACUGUGGGUGAUAAGAUUCAUAGUCGAAAGGGCAACAGCCCAGAUCGUCAGCUAAGGUCCCUAAAUGUAAGUUAAGUGGUAAAGGAUGUGGGAUUGCACAGACAACCAGGAUGUUGGCUUAGAAGCAGCCACUCAUUCAAAGAGUGCGUAAUAGCUCACUGGUCGAGUGAUCCUGCGCCGAAGAUUUCCGGGGCUAAAACUUACUACCGAAGCUACGGCAUCAGUAAUGAUGGGUAGGGGAGCUUCCCAUACGGGUUGAAGCAUGACCGUAAGGACAUGUGGACAGUAUGGGAGUGAGAAUGUUGGCAUGAGUAGCGAGAUGUGGGUGAGAAUCCCACAGGCCGUAAACCCAAGGUUUCCAGGGGAAGGUUCGUCCGCCCUGGGUUAGUCGGAACCUAAGCUGAGGCCGAAAGGCGUAGGUGAUGGACAACAGGUUGAUAUUCCUGUACUACCGAUAACCAUUUGAGAGAAGGGAUGACACAGUAGGAUAAGCUAAGCACACUGUUGGUUAUGUGUGCCCAAGCAUUGAGGCAGUCAAAGUAGGCAAAUCCGCUUUGAUAAUGCUGGGAUGUGAUGGGGAGCGAAAUUUAGUAGCGAAGUAGCUGAUUUCACACUGUCAAGAAAAGUCUCUAUCGAGGUUAAAGGUACCCGUACCGCAAACCGACACAGGUGGGUGAGGAGAGUAUCCUAAGGCCAGCGAGAGAACUGUUGUUAAGGAACUCGGCAAAAUGACCCCGUAACUUAGGGAUAAGGGGUGCCACCAUCAGGUGGCCGCAGAGAAUAGGCCCAAGCGACUGUUUACCAAAAACAUAGGUUUCUGCUAAGUCGCAAGACGAUGUAUAGGAGCUGACGCCUGCCCGGUGCUGGAAGGUUAAGGGGAUCUGUUAGAGCAAUCGAAGCAGUGAACUUAAGCCCCAGUAAACGGCGGCCGUAACUAUAACGGUCCUAAGGUAGCGAAAUUCCUUGUCGGGUAAGUUCCGACCCGCACGAAAGGCGUAACGAUUUGGGCACUGUCUCAACAACAGACUCGGUGAAAUUGUAAUUCCGGUGAAGAUGCCGGAUACCUGCGACAGGACGGAAAGACCCCAUGGAGCUUUACUGUAGCUUGACAUUGGGUCUUGGUACUACAUGUACAGGAUAGGUGGGAGGCUUUGAAACCAGGACGCCAGUUUUGGCGGAGCCAUCCUUGGGAUACCACCCUUGUAGUACUGGGACUCUAACCAUAGGCCAUGAAUCUGGUCUUGGGACACUGUCAGGUGGGCAGUUUGACUGGGGCGGUCGCCUCCCAAAAGGUAACGGAGGCGCUCAAAGGUUCUCUCAGUACGGUCGGAAAUCGUACGUAGAGUGUAAAGGCAAAAGAGAGCUUGAUUGCAAGACAUACAGGUCGAGCAAGGAUGAAAAUCGGACUUAGUGAUCCGGUGGUUCUGCGUGGAAGGGCCAUCGCUCAACGGAUAAAAGCUACCCUGGGGAUAACAGGCUUAUCUCCCCCAAGAGUCCACAUCGACGGGGAGGUUUGGCACCUCGAUGUCGGCUCAUCACAUCCUGGGGCUGUAGUAGGUCCCAAGGGUUGGGCUGUUCGCCCAUUAAAGUGGUACGCGAGCUGGGUUCAGAACGUCGUGAGACAGUUCGGUCCCUAUCCGUCGCAGGCGUAGGAAAUUUGAGAAGACCUGUCCUUAGUACGAGAGGACCGGGAUGGACGUACCUCUGGUGUACCAGUUGUCCUGCCAAGGGCAUGGCUGGGUAGCUAUGUACGGAAUGGAUAAGCGCUGAAAGCAUCUAAGCGCGAAGCCAACUUCAAGAUAAGAUUUCCCACCGCAAGGGUAAGACCCCAGAAAGACUAUCUGGUUGAUAGGUCGAAGGUGUAAGUGCAGCAAUGUAUUUAGCUUAUCGAUACUAAUAGGUCGAGGACUUGACCAA